AGGAGCAAGUGCAAUCCCUGGAGACGAGUCGAAGGGGCCCGAGGCCCCGAGAAGGGCAGGAUGCGAUGCUGGGUGUGUGACCUCAGCCAUGGAAGGGCCACCUGCCACCGGGGGGCUGGGCCGUCGGGCCUUUGGUUGUGGAGGGAAAAGAGUGGCCACUUGCUGGAGCUGGGAACGUGCAGUGAUGAGCACUAGGACAAGAGGACCGUGACAAACAGACAUAGAAGGACAGCAUUGAGUUCAUUGCCUCAAAAUUGCUGCGCUCUCCUUCUGCCAGUGCCCAGAGAUGCUCCCCACACCACACUGCACUGCUGGGGGAUGUUAGAGGUGAUUCAAGACAGUUUUUCCUACCUCUUCAGUGCCUCUUUCAGCAAUAUGAAGUUAAAACCAGAGGAAUGAUCAGUGGAGCCUUCUAUUCUGCCACCUUUCUCUGCCUCUCUCCAAUCCUCUUACCUUUUUCACACAGCCUUCGUGGUUAUCACAGAGACUUAAGAUGGAAUGUUAAAUACACUCUUUUAUAUUGGAAAUAAAAUGAAAACCAGAUAUAAACAAAUAAACAAGCCACGGAGAAAAGAAAACAAACUUUGAAUAAUUAAUUUAUUGUAACUCAUAAGCCCAGCGUUGUAUAAAAAAUGUUGUCAUCCUGUUAUAUUUCUUUGUCUUCUUCCUGUUAGCAAGAAUUUGGCUUUUAACUUCUAAGCACUAUCCCUGUUUCUCUGUAGUGGUGCAUCCCAGAAUGGCCAUUCCUAGCUUUUUGAUUAAAUACUCUUUAAAAUAGAA
rnacentral:lncRNA from 10 species